UACGGAGGAUCCGAGCGUUAUCCGGAUUUAUUGGGUUUAAAGGGUGCGCAGGCGGGAAAUUAAGUCGGCGGUGAAAUUUUGCGGCUCAACCGUAAAAGUGCCUUCGAUACUGGUUUUCUUGAGUGUAGAUGAAGUAGGCGGAAUUUGUGGUGUAGCGGUGAAAUGCAUAGAUAUCACGAGGAACUCCGAUUGCGCAGGCAGCUUACUAAACUACUACUGACGCUCAGGCACGAAGGCGUGGGGAUCAAACAGGAUUAGAUACCCCCGUAGUCCCUGAG
rnacentral:rRNA from 1 species